rnacentral:rRNA from 1 species
GACAAGAAAUAAGGGCUACGGGGCUUGAAGUCUUGUAAUUGGAAUGAUGGGAAUUUAAACCCCUUCCAGAGUAUCAAUUGGAGGGCAAGUCUGGUGCCAGCAGCCGCGGUAAUUCCAGCUCCAAUAGCGUAUAUUAAACUUGUUGCAGUUAAAGAAGCUCGUAGUUGAAUUUCUGCUGUUUCGUUGACUGCGUUUGGCGUUUGUCAUCGUUGCGGCUUGGUUGGGUUUCGAUUAUUCGUUUCCCGGCGUUUACUUUGAGAAAAAUUAGAAGUGACUUGAGAGCAAGGCUUUUGCCCUUGAAGUACUUUAGCAUGGAAAUAACGGAAGAUAGGAACUUUGGUUACUAUUUUGAUUGAGUUUUAGUAGCCCAGAGUAUGAAUGGUUUCUUGGUGCAACCAGUUUGGGCUCGUAUUUGACUGUCAGAGGUGAAAUUCUUAG